rnacentral:misc_RNA from 1 species
GUGGUCUCAACCCUAGAAUUAUACUCGUCUCUCGAGCUAUAAUAGCAUCAGCUUAUGCAUCGAUUUCUAAAAUCGUAUCCGUAUAAAUAAAUCAUCAUCCCAAAUGGACACACAUGAAAUUAAAAAUGUCUAUUUAAUGAAUCACUGAAAUACAUCCACAUUGCUAAUGCAUAUUAAAAAAGUGCACAUAAGAGAAAUUAAAAAUACAAAAUACAAAUGCAUCAAUUACUUUUUCUUCCCUGCUUUCCCUUCCUUUAAUCUUAUAACUUCAUUGGCAUACCUCACACCUUUACCUUUAUAUGGCUCAGGAGGCCUCCAUUUCCUAACCGAAGCAGCAAACUGGCCAAUGUUACACUUGUCAUAUCCACUAAUAAUGAUCCUCGUGUUCUCUUCCACCUUCACUUUUAGGUCACCAGGUAUUUCCAUUCUAACUGGAUGAGAAAAUCCCAGACUUAACACCAAGUCUUUUCCUUCUACUGUUGCACGAUACCCAACGCCAACUAGCUGAAGUCUCUUCUCAAACCCUUUUGAUACUCCCACCACCAUGUUGUCUGUAAGUGUCCUGAAUGCAUUAAAAUUGAUAUUGGGUGUAAGCAAAAAAGGUACAUACCUAGAAUACAGAAUAUUUUUGCUAAGGGUGAUGCUCAUGUUUACUCAAUUCUCCUGUCCAUGAAAAAUAUAAUUCACAUAUAAAUGAAAAAGAAACGAUAUUUCAAACAAAAGGAAUCAUUAUUAACACGCAUCAAAUAACUGCCAGUAUUUCUUUUUGAAGUAUCUACUGUUACUUUAGACCAACAUCUUUAAUGAUGUCUCUUCAUAGCUCGAAGCAUCUUAAAUGCACACUCAAUUGCAAUGAUUAGUAUAUGUCAAAAUCAUAAUGAAGUAGAACUCUUUCUUAGUCCUCCACUCCCUUGUCAAACUGUUUUAGUAACAGAUUCAACCAGUUCAGAGGUUCCUCAUAAAAGUGCUAAAAGUUCUUGGAGAUGAAGUAUUAGAAGAAAAAAUGAAAUAAGUUAUUAGUCUUACAGAGAACUUAAGUAUAAUAAUUUUAAAAAUUAAGAGAGAUGAGGCAAAGAUAAUAUCAAGAAAAUGAGAUGGAAGAGUUUACCUGAAAAGUCCAUGCAUUUGGUUGGCUCUUCUUGUGUCCAAUGCCUUUUUAACACGAAUAGUUCCAUUCUCAUCUCUCUCAAGCUUCACCUCUCGAGGAUAAGUUCUUGAAAGUUCCCCCAAAGGACCCUUCACUUUUAGAUCUCGGCCAUCCAGUGUGAUUGUCACAUUGGAAGGCACUGAAAUUGGUUGCUUCCCGAUUCGUGACUCCUUACAUUCUAUAGUCUUCCUAAGGAACCCAAUACGGGUUAUAGGAACAAUUGGUACACAAAUUCCGUUUCUCUCACCCAAAAAUACAGAUCUCAGAUUG